UACGGGGGGAGCAAGCGUUGUUCGGAUUUACUGGGCGUAAAGGGCGCGUAGGCGGCGCGACAAGUCACUUGUGAAAUCUCUGGGCUCAACCCAGAACGGUCAAGUGAUACUGUCGUGCUAGAGUGCGGAAGGGGCAACUGGAAUUCUUGGUGUAGCGGUGAAAUGCGUAGAGAUCGGGAGGAACACCAGAGGCGAAGGCGACGGCCUGGACAGGGACUGACACUCAACUACGAAAGCGUGGGGAUCAAACAGG
rnacentral:rRNA from 1 species